rnacentral:rRNA from 1 species
UACGUAGGGUGCAAGCGUUGUCCGGAAUUACUGGGCGUAAAGGGCUCGUAGGCGGCCAACUAAGUCAGACGGUGAAAUCCCUCGGCUUAACCGGGGAACUGCGUCUGAUACUGGAUGGCUUGAGAUUGGGAGAGGGAUGCGGAAUUCCAGGUGUAGCGGUGAAAUGCGUAGAUAUCUGGAGGAACACCGGUGGCGAAGGCGGCAUCCUGGACCAACACUGACACUGAGGAGCGAAAGCCAGGGGAGCAAACGGG